rnacentral:rRNA from 1 species
GACGAACGCUGGCGGUGUGCUUAACACAUGCAAGUCGAACGGUAAGGCCCUUUCGGGGGUACACGAGUGGCGAACGGGUGAGUAACACGUGAGUAACCUGCCCUCAUCUCUGGGAUAACAGUCGGAAACGGUUGCUAAUACUGGAUAUGAGCCUGCAAGGCAUCUUGUGGGUUGGAAAGAUUUUUUGGUUGGGGAUGGACUCGCGGCCUAUCAGCUUGUUGGUGAGGUAGUGGCUCACCGAGGCUUCGACGGGUAGCCGGCCUGAGAGGGCGACCGGCCACAUUGGGACUGAGAUACGGCCCAAACUCCUACGGGAGGCAGCAGUGGGGAAUAUUGCACAAUGGACGGAAGUCUGAUGCAGCAACGCCGCGUGCGGGAUGACGGCCUUCGGGUUGUAAACCGCUUUCAAUUGUGACGAAGCUUUUUGUGACGGUAGCAGUAGAAGAAGCACCGGCUAACUACGUG